UACAAAGGUCCCAAGCGUUGCUCGGAUUCAUUGGGCGUAAAGGGCGCGUAGGCGGCGCGGUAAGUCGGAUGUGAAAUCUCGGAGCUUAACUUCGAAACUGCAUUCGAUACUGCCGUGCUUGAGGACUGGAGAGGAGACUGGAAUUUACGGUGUAGCGGUGAAAUGCGUAGAUAUCGUAAGGAAGACCAGUGGCGAAGGCGGGUCUCUGGACAGUUCCUGACGCUGAGACGCGAAAGCGUGGGGAGCAAACAGG
rnacentral:rRNA from 1 species